rnacentral:rRNA from 1 species
UACGUAGGGGGCAAGCGUUGUCCGGAAUCAUUGGGCGUAAAGAGCGUGUAGGCGGCUUGGCAAGUCUGGUGUGAAACCUUGCGGCUCAACCGCAAGCGGUCACUGGAAACUGCCUCGCUAGAGUCCGGAAGAGGAGAGCGGAAUUCCUGGUGUAGCGGUGGAAUGCGCAGAUAUCAGGAAGAACACCCGUGGCGAAGGCGGCUCUCUGGGACGGUACUGACGCUGAGACGCGAAAGCGUGGGGAGCGAACAGG